AACAGCUAUCAGCUAGAACAGAAAGCUAUGAAAAUGUUCUUCCAAGUUUCUCUACUUAGGAGACUGUGCUGGGAGAAGUUUUCUGAACAACCUUUCAUUCUUCCAAUGCUAGGUUCAAGAAAUCCUGCUAAUAUUAUGUUUUCAUUGAAAUGGUAUUGUAGGGCUGAAGUCAAUAAGCAAAGAUGUAGUGUUGAAAGUCACCCCCUUUGUUUUCCUCUUGUUUUCACACAUUUUCCUCUUUCUUGGCAUUGCCUAGAUUUAUUCUCCUCUUCUCCCUUUUAGAAACAGAAUUUGGCAUAAAUAAAUGAUAACUGAGAAAAUGGCAUACACGGACAAGUAAAUGCAAGAUUUCUCCAGCCUCCCACGGGCUUGAAAUGUAUUUAGGGAAGCCAGGCAUGUAUGCAUGAAAUAGAAAGUCACCAUACAAGGCAGUGGGGCACCUGCCAUUUGCUGCAGAGGACGCAGCUGAAGAUAAGGACUACAGCCAUUCAAGG
rnacentral:lncRNA from 1 species